rnacentral:rRNA from 1 species
UGGUGGAGUGAUUUGUCUGGUUAAUUCCGUUAACGAACGAGACCUCGACCUGCUAAAUAGUUCGGCGAAGGCUUCGGCCUUCGUACGUGACUUCUUAGAGGGACUAUCGGUGUGUAGCCGAUGGAAGUUCGAGGCAAUAACA